rnacentral:lncRNA from 1 species
UCUCCUUUAAAAUGGAUCAAAGGUCGCAAGCGCAAGGACCCCAGUGCGAUCCCCGGUACCAAAAAAAAAAAAAAAAUUAAAUAAAGAAAUAAAGAAAUAAAUAAAAUGGAUCAAAGUUGCUGAAAACUGCCACACACACAAAGUUGUGGGAAAACAAUGAAUAAUCUUUUAUUUGUUUUGUUUUUUGGUACCAGGGAUCGAGCUCGGAACCUUGCUCUUGCGAGGCAGGCACCGGAACCACUGAGCUAAAUCCCCAACCCGACAGUGAAUAAGUUUGAAUGAAGACUUAAGGAACCCCAUCAACAGGCACUCCCUGUCAUCUGUGAGGUUUAGUGCCGAUGAGGACCAAAAUACAUGUAAAAAGGUAAAGUUUCUAAAUCAAGCCAGGAAAUCAUUGGGUAAAAUAUAUUCUAUGUGCCUUUAACAAACACAGCUUAUAAUGACGCGAAGACCAGCUUUGAAGUUAGAAUUCUCAGCUCCCUGGAGCUCCACACGGGAUCCUGGUGAGGAGAGAAGACCUAGAACAACCCUGCCUCCUCUCCCAUCUCCCACCUGUGAAGCGCACCGUGACGCCUCUAGCGAACAGGAGCCGAGUUCAGAACCCAGGCUUGUGCAGAGCUGGCCAAGAGGAGAAGAGCAGUGAAGGAGGGAACGAAAGCAUCUCGGAGCAGGAACUUCCCAGCAGGACCCGGGAAUAGAGAGGAUGCUGCCCAGGUGGAGUCCGGGAUCUGGCAAGAGCCGCAACUCCAAGGAUUUGAAAUCUUUUUGUCCGUGUGUGCAAACCUGUCUUUGUAUUUUAUUCCUUUAAAAAUUGCAGAAAGAUAUUUAAAUAAACAGGGCCCCAGGA